rnacentral:rRNA from 1 species
AGAGUUUGAUCAUGGCUCAGAACGAACGCUGGCGGCAUGCCUAACACAUGCAAGUCGAACGCGUGUAGCAAUACACGAGUGGCGCACGGGUGAGUAACGCGUGGGAACCUGCCCAGUGGUAGGGAAUAACUGCGGGAAACUGCAGCUAAUACCCUAUACGCCCUACGGGGGAAAGUUUUUCGCCAUUGGAGGGGCCCGCGUCGGAUUAGCUAGUUGGUGAGGUAAGAGCUUACCAAGGCGACGAUCCGUAGCUGGUCUGAGAGGAUGAUCAGCCACACUGGGACUGAGACACGGCCCAGACUCCUACGGGAGGCAGCAGUGGGGAAUAUUGGACAAUGGGGGAAACCCUGAUCCAGCAAUGCCGCGUGAGUGAUGAAGGCCUUAGGGUUGUAAAGCUCUUUCGACGGGGACGAUGAUGACGGUACCCG